rnacentral:rRNA from 1 species
CAGCCGCCACGGUAAUACGAAGGGUGCAAGCGUUAAUCGGAAUUACUGGGCGUAAAGCGUGCGUAGGCGGUGAGUUAAGUCUGCUGUGAAAUCCCCGGGCUCAACCUGGGAAUGGCAGUGGAUACUGGCUCGCUAGAGUGUGUCAGAGGAUGGUGGAAUUCCCGGUGUAGCGGUGAAAUGCGUAGAGAUCGGGAGGAACAUCAGUGGCGAAGGCGGCCAUCUGGGACAACACUGACGCUGAGGCACGAAAGCGUGGGGAGCAAACAGGAUUAGAGACCCCGGUAGUCCCUGUCUCUUAUAC